rnacentral:pre_miRNA from 1 species
CAGGUAUUCCUCCGUCCAACAAAAGAUGUCUCAAGUUUGUCAAAAUUUGGAUGUAUCUAGACAUGACUUAGUGUAUAGAUGCAUUCAAAUUUGGUCAAAGUUGAGACAUCUUUUGUUGGACGGAGGGAGUACCAU